UGCUUGUUUUCAUCAGUCUAUUUCACAUUCGCGAUAGGCCCUUACAAUUACUGUCUGCACUUCUUCAAGCAUUUCUGUUAACCCUAUAUUUUUGUACUGUCAAGUUUUCUAAAAUAUUAUAGCUUUUCUCUCGUCAAUCUAACAGAAAGUUUUUCAAUAACGGAGUUCGUUGAAAUUUAACAGUUAAUCACAUUACACGGCGUCAUUUGAUGUCAUGGCAUUAAAUCGAGGAAUAAAAUGUCUCCCUUUUGGUAAUGGAAACUUUAAUAACCUAGAAGAAAUUGGUGGAAGUGGAGGAAUGAAUUCAUGGGAAGGAGGAAUGAUGCCUGGUUGAAGGAUUUUACCAACUCCAAAUAAUAAUUUGUCUUUAGCAUUACCCUAAGCACAGUUAGCAAUGGCUAAUAACCUUCUCACAAAUUUAUUUCUUAAUCAACAAGCAGAUACCAUCACUCCUUAGUCUUUGCAAUAAAUGGAUAUCAAUGGCACCUUCUCAGUUGGAUACAAAAAUAAGUUAUUUGUGUGACAAAUGUUUAUAGAAUCUGAUGACAGCGAUUAUAUUGAAACGAAAGAUACAGGAAAAGGAGAAAUUAAUUAACACAAAAUUAGCAACAAUGGUUAAAGAAGUUAAUCGAAAAAAAUUAAAUUAUUUGAAUUAAAAAUCAGGGAGAAGAACAGUAUGUUUAACUUUGUUAUAAAACAAAAUAGAUUCUCAACUUGCAGAUAUAAAGAAAUAUAGUAAAUCUGAGGAUGUUAAAAAGGCAGAAAAUAUUUUAUCUCAAUUAUAUAUCUUUCUACAAAAUAAUGACACAUUAUGUUGUGAUAAUGUAAUUCUUCUCAAGAUACCCAAGGAAUGGGAAGAAACAAUGGAAACUGUAAUAUCUUGUUGUGAUAAUUUAAAAUCUCUUAUAGAUUUAAUUGGACCCCGAAAUGAGAAUGUUAAUAAUGGUCUUAAAAAUUUCUUGAAUGUUUAUAACGUUAUUACGGACCAUCACAAAAGAUUGGAGAAAGACAUUGAACUACAAGCUCUUACAUUGAAAACUUGAACCUUGAGCUUAAUGUAAGCAAACGAGUCAAGGGAUGUAAAUAUUUAACAUCACAAUAUUAAGUACUGUUUAAGUACAAUACUGUAUUUAAAACUUUAUGUAUGUAAUAAGACAUGGUUAUGUAAAUAAUGUGUUU